rnacentral:rRNA from 1 species
GGAAGUAAAAGUCGUAACAAGGUCUCGGUUGGUAACCAGCGGAGGGAUCAUUACCGAGUUUACAACUCCCAAACCCAAUGUGAACCAUACCAAACUGUUGCCUCGGCGGGGUCACGCCCCGGGUGCGUCGCAGCCCCGGAACCAGGCGCCCGCCGGAGGGACCAACCAAACUCUUUCUGUAGUCCCCUCGCGGACGUUAUUUCUUACAGCUCUGAGCAAAAAUUCAAAAUGAAUCAAAACUUUCAACAACGGAUCUCUUGGUUCUGGCAUCGAUGAAGAACGCAGCGAAAUGCGAUAAGUAAUGUGAAUUGCAGAAUUCAGUGAAUCAUCGAAUCUUUGAACGCACAUUGCGCCCGCCAGUAUUCUGGCGGGCAUGCCUGUCCGAGCGUCAUUUCAACCCUCGAACCCCUCCGGGGGGUCGGCGUUGGGGAUCGGGAACCCCUAAGACGGGAUCCCGGCCCCGAAAUACAGUGGCGGUCUCGCCGCAGCCUCUCCUGCGCAGUAGUUUGCACAACUCGCACCGGGAGCGCGGCGCGUCCACGUCCGUAAAACACCCAACUUCUGAAAUGUUGACCUCGGAUCAGGUAGGAAUACCCGCUGAACUUAAGCAUAUCAAUAAGCGGAGGA